CCUCGCAGUGUGUAUCUGUGUAUUCGAGCUUCUAAGUUGAGCAAUACGUAAUAACGUGAAUCUUUGAUAAUUGACUUAAUUCCAUCUCUUCAGGCUUUGUGGGCGAGUUUAAUGAGAAAUCCAUGCAGGCGUUGUUGAGCUCCAUCCCAUCAGAUGUCCCGUCUCAAGAGCUCUGUAUCUGGUUAAAGGGUGUGGUGGCGUCCUUGAUGUGGAGAGUGUUGCCUAAAGUACAGAGAGUCCUGGCUAAAUGGUUUGUGCUGCGAGCAAGAGUCCUGGAGUUAAGAAAAGAACGGCUGACCUCAGAACGGACUGAUGCUAGCUGAACUCGGUCUGCCGUCCUUCUGGAUGUCCACAAAUCUGGACUUGCUGGAUUGCUGCAGUUCUCAGAUAACACACAUCUCUGUUCACUCAGUGGGAGGCCAAAGCAGUGGCUCUGGUUCACUGUAUGACUGACACCAAUACUGUCACGACUUCCCCUUUAAGCAGCGUGCCAAAGAGCCACAUGUAAAUGCAUGCUGCCAUGCAAGGUACGCCAUGCAAUAGUCAUAGUCAUAGUCCUAGUUAUAGUCAGGUUAAUCAUUAGAUUUAGUCCACGCUGGUUUCUCCGCUCGCUAUUGUUUAAGUUUUACAAACAGUUCUGCUCACGCCCAAGUUUACUGACAUGGCCGACCAAGUUCUGCUCA
ensembl:lncRNA